CGGUAAACAAAGGGAUGCAAAGCCGCGAGGCAGAGCGAACCCCCAAAAGCCGUCCCAGUUCGGAUCGCAGGCUGCAACCCGCCUGCGUGAAGUCGGAAUCGCUAGUAAUCGCGGAUCAGCAUGCCGCGGUGAAUACGUUCCCGGGCCUUGUACACACCGCCCGUCACACCAUGAGAGUCGGGAACACCCGAAGUCCGUAGCCUAACCGCAAGGAGGACGCUGCCGAAGGUAGGAUUGGCGACUGGGGUGAAGUCGUAACAAGGUACC
rnacentral:rRNA from 1 species